UAAGACGGAGGAUGCAAGCGUUAUCCGGAAUGAUUGGGCGUAAAGCGUCCGCAGGUGGCUCUUCAAGUCUGCUGUCAAAGAGCAAGGCUCAACCUUGUCAAGGCAGUGGAAACUGAAAGGCUAGAGUGUGGUAGGGGUAGAGGGAAUUCCCAGUGUAGCGGUGAAAUGCGUAGAGAUUGGGAAGAACACCGGUGGCGAAAGCGCUCUACUGGACCUGCACUGACACUGAGGGACGAAAGCUAGGGGAGCGAAUGGGAUUAGAUACCCCAGUAGUCCUAGCCGUAAACGAUGGAAACUAGGUGUGGCCUGUAUCGACCCGGGCCGUGCCGUAGCUAACGCGUUAAGUUUCCCGCCUGGGGAGUACGCACGCAAGUGUG
rnacentral:rRNA from 1 species